rnacentral:rRNA from 1 species
UAAUACAUGCAAGUCGAACGCACAGCGAAAGGUGCUUGCACCUUUCAAGUGAGUGGCGAACGGGUGAGUAACACGUGGACAACCUGCCUCAAGGCUGGGGAUAACAUUUGGAAACAGAUGCUAAUACCGAAUGAAACUUAGUGUCGCAUGACACAAAGUUAAAAGGCGCUUUGGCGUCACCUAGAGAUGGAUCCGCGGUGCAUUAGUUAGUUGGUGGGGUAAAGGCCUACCAAGACAAUGAUGCAUAGCCGAGUUGAGAGACUGAUCGGCCACAUUGGGACUGAGACACGGCCCAAACUCCUACGGGAGGCUGCAGUAGGGAAUCUUCCACAAUGGGCGAAAGCCUGAUGGAGCAACGCCGCGUGUGUGAUGAAGGCUUUCGGGUCGUAAAGCACUGUUGUAUGGGAAGAACAGCUAGAAUAGGGAAUGAUUUUAGUUUGACGGUACCAUACCAGAAAGGGACGGCUAAAUACGUGCCAGCAGCCGCGGUAAUACGUAUGUCCCGAGCGUUAUCCGGAUUUAUUGGGCGUAAAGCGAGCGCAGACGGUUGAUUAAGUCUGAUGUGAAAGCCCGGAGCUCAACUCCGGAAUGGCAUUGGAAACUGGUUAACUUGAGUGCAGUAGAGGUAAGUGGAACUCCAUGU